AUGGAUAGGUUCUCGAAAAUGGCACACUUUAUACCAUGUCAUAAAAGCGAUGAUGCUGUUAAUGUUGCUGAUUUGUUCAUUCGUGAAAUUAUUCGCUUGCAUGGUGUGCCAAAUACUAUUGUUUCAGAUCGUGAUACUAAAUUUCUUAGCCACUUUUGGAAAUGUUUAUGGGCUAAGUUGGGGACUAAACUACUUUUUAGUACUACUUGUCACCCCCAAACUGAUGGUCAAACUGAAGUAGUCAAUCGAACAUUGUCUACUAUGCUUAGGGCUGUUUUGAAGAAUAUUAAGAAAAUGUGGGGAGAAUGCUUGCGUCAUAUUGAAUUUGCUUAUAAUCGUUCAUUGCAUUCUACUAGUAAGAUGUGCCCUUUUGAAAUUGUGUAUGGUUUCCUACCUCAUGCACCCAUUGAUUUGUUGCCUCUUCCAUCUUCGGAGAAGGUUAAUUUUGAUGCUAAACAACGUGCUAAAUUGAUCUUAAAAAUGCAUGAGUUAACUAAGGAAAACAUUGAGCGUAUGAAUGCUAAAUAUAAACUUGCUGGAGAUAAGGGUAGAAAACAUGUUGUCUUUGCACCCGGAGAUCUUGUUUGGUUACAUUUGCGUAAGGAUAGUUUUCCUAAUUUGCGCAAAUCAAAGCUAAUGCCACGUGCUGAUGGUCCUUUUAAGGUGUUAGAGAAAAUAAAUGAUAAUGCAUAUAAACUUGAGCUGCCUACAGAUUUUGGGGUUAGUCCCACUUUUAACAUUGCAGAUUUGAAGCCUUAUUUGGGUGAGGAAGAUGAGCUUCCGUCGAGGACGACUUCAUUUCAAGAAGGGGAGGAUGAUGAGGACAUCAAUACCAUUGUUACACCCACAGCCCCUACUACUACAUAUACUGGACCAAUUACUAGAGCUCGCGCACGCCAAUUAAAUUAUCAGGUACUUUUGUUUCUUGGUAAUGAUUCUAAUGUUCAUGAGAAUAUGAUGCUGCCUAAAUUGGAUACAUUUGUUUUGCUUACGAAUGAAGGGCCUGGCAUGGAUAAGAGUGAUGAACACUGGAGCAAGACCAAGCAUGGAGAUGAUGGCAUGCGCAAGGGAAACAAGAACGGAGUUACAAGUGAUGAUUUCAGGACUUUGAAGCCACCAUAG
rnacentral:rRNA from 1 species